rnacentral:sRNA from 1 species
UGAUCUGUAGCCCAAUUUUGACAUGCUUUAUAACCAUGUGAAGCAGCUCCUCUCCAAUGAGCUACUCCUGACACAAAUGGAGAAAUGUGCCCUCAUGGAAGCCCUGGUUCUCAUUAGCAACCAAUUUAAGAACUACGAGCGUCAGAAGGUGUUCCUAGAGGAGCUGAUGGCACCAGUGGCCAGCAUCUGGCUUUCUCAAGACAUGCACAGAGUGCUGUCAGAUGUUGAUGCU